GGAGGGGAGUCAGAAAAUGGCGGGAAUACUUGUCUGGCUCAUAAAUAUUAAUGAUAUGCAAAUUUCUGAUCGGCUAACAGCAAUACGACUCUUCCCCUGCCUUUGUUUGGUCUUCUUUCUUGGGUUAAAAAAAUGCAACGUUGCUAAUUUAUCUAUACAAAUGAAUGUGUUCUGACCAAGCCCCCACAAUGCCGCUCUAAAAAUGGUCCCAUCCCGGAAGUAAGAAAAAUUGCAGUUCCACCCUCAUCCGCUGGGGGCUGGUGCCAGAAGCGAGCAAAUCCUCAUUGACUCCCAUGUUAAAAAUGCCGAUUUCACAGCAGAAAUAAACAUGUUUAAAGCCUGGUACCAAAACAUGUUUUUUGUCUAAAUUAUCUAGUUUAUACUCAUGACAACUCUGAGGGGGGUGAAUUUUUUUCUCACUCUUCUGUUUAAGUGUAUUGAAAGCCUAAAAUUCUGUAUAAUUAAUGAGCAUCCGACACACGUGACCGCCGCCUCAGACCCACGUGACCACAGAGCUAGCUCCGUGGAAAGGCCUCAGUACAGCCUCGGUCUGGCUUGGAAACUGCUCCGGCAUUUUGAGUCUCUGUGUUUGUGUAUUCUUCUUUGGAUAUUAUUGGUGCAAUUGUUGGACAAAAUGACUUGCAGUGGUAUUAAUUGCACUAAUAGAGCGUCCAAGGAGUCUCCACUUCAUUUUUUUCGGGAAGGACCUGAUUGGUGUCCAGAACCUGCUGAAGAAGCACCAGGCUCUGCAGGCUGAGAUCACAGGUCAUGAACCUCGCAUCAAGGCUGUCACCCAGAAAGGAGAGACCAUGGUGGAAGAAGGUCACUUCGCUGGUGAGGAAGUGAAGACUAAACUGUGGGAGCUUCAUGGACGUUGGGACACGCUGAAGGCCAAGGCGUCCCAGAGGAGGCAGGACCUGGAGGACUCUCUGCAGGCCCAGCAGUACUUUGCGGAUGCUAAUGAGGCCGAGUCCUGGAUGAGGGAGAAGGAGCCCAUCGUUGGAAGUCCAGACUAAGGGAAAGACGAGGACUUGGCCGAGGCUCUCCUGAAGAAGCACGAGGCCCUGAUGUCGGACCUGUCGGCUUACGGCAGCAGCAUCCAGGCCCUGAAGGAGCAGGCCCAGUCCUGCAGGGACCUGAAGGCCAACGAGUCCCGCCUGAGGGACAUCAACAAGGUGGCAUCUGAACUGGAGUCAGAAGGUCUGAUGGCUGAGGAGGCUCCUAUGGUUCAGGCUCAGGUGAGCGUCACCUGUCUGCAGCAGCUGGUCCCUCUCACUUCCUGGUUUAACUCUGCUCGUCUCUGUUUGUAGCAACAAGAACAUCUGGGUUCUGCUCC